ACUUGUAAGAAGUUGGGUUGCAAGCAGGAAGAGGUAAGGAGAAAUUGGGAAACCUUGCCUAAUUCCUCUUUUCAAAUCAAAUCUAGGAGAAGUGCCAUGCUUUAAUUUAAUUGAACUGUUCCCAUUCACAUAAAGUACUAAAGUAGUUUUAGUACUACAAAAUAAUUCCCCAAAACCAAAUUUCUCAAGGGAGAGAAAUAGAAACUCAUGUUCCACUGUAUCGAAGGCUGUAUAAAAGUCUAAGAAGACAAUACAACUAUAUUCUAAGAUUAAAUCAGAAUAGUCAAUAAGGUCUAACACCAGUCAGAUAUUAUUAGAUAUGUCUAUUCCUCAUGAAGCCAGAUUGGGUCUCUUCUAUAAUUGAGUCAAUACUGCCUUCAUUCUUUUUUUGCAAAUAUAGAGGCUAAUAUUUUGUAGUCAUUAUUGAGCAGACAGAUUGGACGCCAAUUAUUGAGUAGAAGCAAGUCUUUAUUGGGCUUAGGGAUUAAUGUAAUCAGACCUUGAGUCAAACUGGGAGGGAGAUCAUUAUUUGUAAUGCUUUCAGAAAAGACCUCCAACAGAAAAACUGUUGAGAAAAAGUUUUGUAAAACUCAGCAGAUAUACCAUCAGUCCCAGGAGGCUUAUUAUUUUUAAGGUGUUCAAUAGAAUAAAUGAUCUCUUCAAAUAUAAUAGGGUCAUCACACUGUUCCCUUUCAACCUCCCCAACUGAUUUCACAUCCCCCAGAGAGUGGUAUUUUUAUAACCUGAAAAAAUAAGAUGAAUUUUGUUCACCCUCCUCUAGCCACUUCUUCCUAGAUCUGACAAAGGCUCCCUCUGCUUUCAGUUUAUACAUAUCAUCCAACUUGUUUUGUAGCUCAUCAGAAUAUAUUUGUCCUCCUCUGAGAGACUUUCAACAGGCUUUUGAACAAGAGAGGGGAUAUUUGUAAUUAUACUUUCUUCUUCAGCUCUCCUUGUCUUGGGAAGAAAACUCCCAUAUUUUCUUAAAUAUUUUCCAACCUCAUAUUUAAAAAUCUCCCAGUUAUUACUGUAUGAGUUGUCACUUAUAGCUUUGUUCCAAAAGUGUGUAAUUAAAUUGUUUAUCUCCAUCUUGACCAACUCAUGUUUUAAUAUAGAGCUAUUAAGCUUCCACUAGGAUGCUCUGCCAAUGCCAUUAUCAGAGAUUAAAAGUUCAAUGUCAAUAUAAAUAGCUUUAUGAUCAGUAAGGGGAGUGGCAAGGAUGUUAAUAGAAAUACCCUGUUUAUCUAAACAUUUAGACACCAGCCAAAAAUCUAUGUGUGAUUGUCUGGAGCAUGCCUUAUUACUCCAUGUGAAAGACUUGUCAUUAGGAAACGUGGAUACUCUCCAAAUAUCUAUAAUAGAAAACCUUUCCAUAAACUGCCUCAAAUUGUAUUCAUAGAAGUGGACUGUCCCAGAAGCCAUCUGUCAACUAUAAGUAAAGCAUUCGGGAAUAGGCUUUUCUAUAGAUUCAAGUAGGUGAUCAUUUUCAAGUUUGGAAUUGUAACCAUACAUUUUGGUAAUAAUAAUGACGAUGUUGUUACAGUUGAUAACAAGACAAAGAAAGUGACCCAAAGGGUCAAAAUACUGUGCAAAAUACUUCCAUAGAAAUUAUUCUUUAGAGAGAACUCCAGCAGAGCGUUCAGAACCAUGAUAGAGCCAUACAUCAUUACCCCAGAUCUCCAGAUGUUCAUGUCGGUAGCAACUGAAUGAGACUUGAAAAAAAAACAUAAAUCUGUUUUAAGCUGUUCGGCAAAUAAAAACAAUUAUUUGCACUUUACAUUAUUUCUUAACCACCUAGCAUUGAGUGAAACUAUAGACAACGACAAAGUGGAAUAUAGAACAAAGUACUAUGAGCUAAACAACAAUCGCAAAUCGAAAAAGAAUGUAAAGAAACCAGAGUUGCAUACAAUAUAGAUAUAAAUGAUUGAGUAAGAAUAGUUUAGCAUAACAAAGCUAACUGCCAGAACAAGAAACAACAAAGAGCUUGCUCUCUGCCUAUACUGCAGGUAAAAAUAUCAGAAGUGAGAGAACAAAUAAAAUAGUAAAUAUCCAUUACUCCGGUAGCCCUGUGGAGUUAGAACGAAGGUUAAAUCACCCUAGAGCCGGGAGUGGGAUCUGUUCACAUCAGAGGUAGCUACCUAGGUAGCCUAUGUUGACCACCAGGCACAGUCUAUGACAGUUCUCAAGGAGGAAGGUUGAUUUCGGAUCCGUUGAUGAAAGCACGCCCUCCGAUGAAGUAAGCCGCUUUCCCUUCUUUUUCGUGCUUUUUCCACAGCCGGCCACAUUUUCUCUCUCCUUUCUCUGUCAUUUAAUGUAUGUACAUGAUGACUGCCACUAGGAGAGCUGUGACAUCAAUGGAGUGCAUUAGUGAUAUCGUGAGGUCUUGGAGAAUGACUACUACUGAAAAUGAACAUUUCUCCAUCAUAAUUUUCCCCUAUUCAUUCAGGUAUGUAAUGUGCAAAAGUGCAAUAUGACUCUCAAAAUAUUGCGGCAACAUGGUUAACUACAUAGUCCAUGAGUUUGGUGAUGUUUGAAGGCAACUGAAGAGCGUUUUAAACAAAGUGAAAAACUGGUUGGUAUUUUUCCCAUUCUAAGUAAUGGAGGUUGGCUAGGUUGCAUGUAAGAGAAGGGAUUACUUUUUUUCUACAAUGUUUUAAAUCCUAUUUGUUUUAUUUUCUAUGAACAAAGGCUCAGUUUAGUUCGGGUAAUAUGUAAAUAUAUGAUGUCAUGAUAAAAUGUGUUUAAGUGUUUGUACAAUAAUAGCGUUUAAUAGUUUCCUAGCUUGAUGCUAACCAAAUUUAGCGUGGUCAAGCACUAGCUAGCUCUAGGCUAGUUGGUUUCAGUAAAUGUGAGCUUACAUGUUAGUGGUUAAUAAUGUAAUGGUUGUAGCAUUGUUUCACAUAGGCCUCCAGUCAUUUUUAGCUUUUUAGAAAUUGACACUGAUAGUACAGUGAGUUAUAUAUAAUGUGAAUGUAUAGAUGUAUGGUGACUAAAGGUUUGGAUGAACGGACCAACCAGACCCUCAAGAUUGACAUGGGCAAGUCCCUUGAUGGGUACCAGGAAUGGUGGGUGGACAACCUGAAGGUAAUUCUCUUUGCACAUAACAGCAGCGUUCAGGCCUCUAGUGUACUCACCCUAUCGCCUGCUGUACGGACGGGAGCCGCAGCUGUUUACUGAGGCGGCAUCGCCAUGCUGUCAGCAGUACCAACACUGACCCAGGGGUUUCUCCAAAUAGUACAUCUCAAGGCUAACCACUGGGUCACGUUAAGUAACCUCCGCUUCCAGGUAGGUACUGUUAAGGUGUAUCACUACUGCGGUCAUGACACCACCCUGGAGAUUCUCUCACAACUCACCUCUCUUAUCUUUUUCAGGGACCAUCCCUUACCUCCCUCAUCAACCCCACUGACAUAGAAAAUAAAGGAUACCUGUCAAUUUCUAUGUCUGCCAUUAACAUUAUUGCAUGUCUAACCAACAUUUAAAUUUAAUAACUGUAUUUUUUGCAUACCUGAUCAAACUAUAACCUGUGUGUUUGCUUGUUUACAUUUCUGGCUCAUACCCUGUUCUCCAGGUCCUAGGGGUUUUGCCUAGCACCCAGAAAUGGAUCCACCCGAUGUCCUCCAUUACAUCAGCUACUGUUAUUGUCAUGUUGUCAUUAUCUGCUAAGAAUGUUUUCUUGCUCUAUCAUACUGGGUACAUAAUGUGAGAUACAUAGAUUAGCUAAAAACACUAGCACUGCAAACACUCAGAACAAAGAGAGCAGCAGUGCCUGGACACUCUUCCUCUUCGAGUCCCCCUUCUGAGACUAACUGCCUGUUAAGAACAAGUGACAGACCAAACCUCCCACCCACACAGCAUCCACCUCCUCUCUAUUCCACACACCAGAAUUCAGUAUUUCAGUCUAUGAUUACCAUGUGAGUGUAUAAAAAAAUCAGUGAAAGUAAAUUGACACACAUGUACCAAAAAAAUAUAAGCAUUAAUAGGGGUGGCAGGGUAGCUUAGUGGUUAGAGCAUUGGACUAGUAACCGAAAGGUUGCAAGUUCAAAUCCCCGAGCUGACAAGGUACAACCAAUCUGUCGUUCUGCCCCUGAACAGGCAGUUAACCCACUGUUCCUAGGCCGUCAUUGAAAGUAAGAAUUUGUUCUUAACUGACUUGCCUAGUAAAAUAAAGGUAAAAAUAUAUAUAUAUUUAAAUAUUGCAAGGUUGGUUUUCACAAUGUGUUCAUUAUUGUAAAUUGUAACGUAUCACUUCAUGGUAUUUGUUAGUUCAACAUUAUUCAUUGUUGUAUCCUACGACCUACAAUAGAUAUAUAUUCCACCAUAAGGGCUAUGAGUGUAGAUAACGAAAGCGAACUUAAAAUGAAAACAUGCCAGCCAGACAACCCAGUGUAUGAAUCAAAUGUAUUUGCAUAUGAAUGGAGUGGAAAUUAGCUGACUUUGUGAUCUGUAAGGUAAGUAACAUUAUGUGUGUGUGUGGAUGGGGGGGGGAAUUGACAUCUUUUUUUAUAUUUAUUACCCCGAUGCCUGUUUAUUCAUAGAAAGCAAAAGAUAGUAAAUAUAAUUUAUUGCAAUGGUUAGACUAUGCAAAUUAACCUCUUAAUAGGAAAACAUGAAACACUUAUUAAUAGGACUACAUUUAGAGUAAUUGGUAACAAAUAUAACGUGGGAAAAAGUUAAAGGAUCCUAGUCAGGCUAUUGUUUGUCAAAUCCAGAUGAAAUAUAUUUAUUCAUGUAUCAAAUCUGUAGGCGAUUGUGGGCUAAAUCAAUGACAAAUAUAGCUGAAAUGUUCAUGCUUCAUCAUGAUCUGUGAUCCACACAGGCUGAGAUGUUUUUGUUCCUUUUAGGCUAGAGUUAUGUGUAAGAACACAACAGCAGUUAAAUGAAUGGCCUGACUCAAUGUUAUUCUCCUGAUUAAAAAAGUGUUUAUAUGUUAAGCUGUUUGCUCUAUGGAUAAACCCAUACCAGUUCUAUCUUUGAAUGACUGUUCAAAACAAUUGUAGUUUUUUUCAAAAUUACCAGUUGUCUUGAACGCACUGAAGUCGAAGUCAGAGAUAACGGAGUUCUGAGUUAAAUGCGCAGCUGGAGACCUAGGCUACCUCUUAUUUCUGAGUAGGGCUACCUCCAAAAAAGAAGCCAUUGUGUCCGUAUUGAUUUGUGAAAUAGGCAUAUCUACACAAUAAUGGUGGCUGGCUGCAAAUCAACUGGCCUAAUAUUUUUUGUAUUGAGGUGAUAUGCCUACUUUAGCUAAAUCGACAAAUGAAAUUGAUUAGAUUACUCUGGCAAUUAUAUAUAUAUUUUUAAAUAAAAUCAUGUACAUGUC